GUUGCCUCUUUUCUGGACAUUAUCAGCGCAGCAGACAAACUUUACCAGCUGCCUAGGAGCAAGAGGGCCCCAAUGUAUGAGAGAAUUUUGAGUAAAAUAUAGUGUGUAAUCUUUUUUGACCAUUAUCAUUACUUUACUCGUGGAGGAAGAUAUAGGGUACAUUUGAGACCAUAAUAAGUGAGAAGUCCAUACAGGGCGUCAAAGGUUUGCCCCCUGCGUGCGACACAGGAAUAAUGGACAUCGCAACCACUGCAGAUGCAGCCACUGCCAAACCUGAACCCACUGCUAUGGAGGAGUCAGAUCCGCAAGAGCCCCAAGAGCCCCAAGAGCCCCGCACAUCGGAGAAGAUCGACUUGUCACUAGAUGACAUCAUCAAACUGAACAAAAAAGAGAACAAGGCCAAUAAGGCUGCCAACAAGGCUCGGGACCGACGCACCACAAGCAAAAACACUGUCCUCAAGAAGCUGGACAGGGCAGGACAACAGCAGACAUUUCCUUUCAGACGUGGCCCGUAUCAAUUCCAGCAAGGACCCUACAAAUCACGUUACAUGGGACCCCCCAUUCCUGGCUAUUACAGAGUAAAGCCAUAUCUCAGAAAGACUUCUUUUGGAGCACAUCACCUCAAAGGUGUGAGCCCUUUAAAAAGACCUCCUUUGAACACAAAGGAAGGAGCACAGUUCGGAAAACGUAAACCGUUGUUCAAGGGUGCGUUUUAUCAACCAUACAGAGGUCCCCCAGGGGCUUUGAGAAGGCCUCCUCCACAAUUCAGAGGGCAGAAGAAGCCACCAUUCCAGCCCAAACAGAGACAGGGCGGUGUGAAGCCAUUCAUCCUAAACAGAGGGUUUCCUGUGGCAAAUGGAAAAAUGGAUAAGUACCAAAAGGUUAGAAGCUGGAAAAAGGCGCCCUCCGGUGUUUCUACCUUGACGGUGUCACUGCCCAACUCCAAAGCCAACUCAGAGCCCGCGGCCAAGGCUAAGCAGGCCACAGUGCUGGACCGAUCCAGUCCAUCAGGGGUGUCCCCCCAGCCCAAAGGCAUCCCUCUCAGAUUUAACUUCAAGGCCACUAUAAAUCAGACGGGAGUGACCCUCAAUGACCGCUUCACUGGUAUGAGGAUCUGGGCAGGCCUAGGACAGGGUCCACAGAGGGGCAGUGGCAGGGGAAGAGGCAGAGGCCGAGAAGGCCGGACUGUCAUCCUACAGUGAUCAUUGUUGAGGACCUGUGCUGUCUGUAGCCUAUAUAAAAAAAAACAUCUCAUUAAUCCCCCUGUUAACCCUUCCAUUAUGCUCACAUUUUGAAGACAUUUUAUAUUGAUGUUUAUUUUAGUAUGUAUGGCACGCAUUUAGUUACUUCUUGUUUACAAAAUGUUUGGACCUUGGAAAAAGUCUAGACAUUCAAUGAAUUAAAUGACAAGUGAUAAAGAGCUGAAGUGACAGGCUACACAGAUAAAUAUACUCUUCAUAUAGACGGUAGAACACAUUUAUUUUGGGAACCAUCAUGUGAAGUUAGGACAGUGAUCUCAGCCUGUUACCCAAAGUAUUUUUAGCUCUUGUUAAUGGGGUUGGCAUGUACAGUGCCUUCGGAAAGUAUUCAGACCCCUUGACUUUUCCCACAUUUUGUUAGGUUAUACAGCCUUAUUCUAAAAUUGAUAACAAACAAAACAAUCCUCAUUGAUCUACACACAAUAUCCCAUAAUGACAAAGCAAAAACUGUUUUUUAGAAUUGUUUGCUAAUUUAUCAAAAAUAAAAAAAUAUCACAUUUACAUAAGUAUUCCGAACUUUUACUCAGUACUUUGUUGAAGCACCUUUGGCAGCGAUUACAGCCUCGAGUCUUCUUUAGUAUGACACAAGCUUGGCACACCUGUAUUUGGGGAGUUUAUCACCAUUCUUCUCUGAAGAUCCUCUCAAACUCUGUCAGGUUGGAUGGGGUGUGUUGUUGCACAGCUAUUUUCAGGUCUCUCCAGAUAUGUUCGAUCGGAUUCAAGUCCGGGCUCUGGUUGGGCCUCUCAAGGACAUUCAGAGACUUGUCCUUAAGCCACACCUGCAUUGUCCUGGCUGUGUGCCAAGGGUCAUUGUCCUGUUGGAAGGUCAACCUCACCCCAGUCUAAGGUCCUGAGCACUCUGUAGCAGGUUUUCAUCAAGGAUCUCUCUGUACUUUGCUCCGUUGAUCUUUGCCUCGAUCCUGACUAGUCUCCCAGUCCCUGCUGCUGAAAAUCAUCUCCACAGCAUGAUACUGCCACCACCAUGCUUCACCGUAGGGAUGGUGCCAGGUUUCCUCCAGAUGUGACACUUGGCAAUCAGGUCAAAGAGUUCAAUAUUGGUUUCACCAGACCAGAGAAUCUUGUUUCUCAUGGUCUCAGAGUCUUUAGGUGCCUUUUGGCAAACUCCAUGCGGGCUGUCGUGUGCCUUUUACUGAGGAGUGGCUUCCAUCUGGCCACUCUACAUAAAGGCCUAAUUGGUGGAGUGCUGCAGAGAUGGUUGUCCUUCUGGAAGGUUCUCCCAUCUCCACAGAGGAACUCUAGAGCUCUGUCAGAGUGACCAUCGGGUCUUGGUCACCUCACUGACCAAGUAGUUUCUCCCCUGAUUGCUCAAUUUGUCCGGGAAGCCAGCUCUAGCAGGAGUUUUGGUGGUUCCAAACUUAUUCCAUUGAAGAAUGAUGGAGGCCACUGUGUUCUUGUGGAUCUUCAAUGCUGGUACCCUGUGACUCGGCACAAUCCUGUCUCUGAGCUCUACCGACAAUUCCUUCGACCUCAUGGCUUGGUUUUUGCUCUGACAUACACUGUCAACUGUGGGACCUUAUAUAGACAGGUGUGUGCCUUUCCAAAUCAUGUCCAAUCAAUUGAAUUUACCACAGGUGAACUCCAAUUAACUUGCAGAAACAUCUCAAGGAUGAUCAAUGGAAACAGGAUGCACCUCAUCUAAAUUUCGAGUCUCAUAGCAAAGGGUCUGAAUACUUAUGUAAAUAAGGUAUUUCUUAUUUUUUAAAUAUGUUUUCAAAGAUUUCUAAAAACCUGUUUUCGCUUUAUCCUUAUGGGGUAUUGUGUGUAGAUUGCUGAGGAAUUGUUUUUAUUUAAUCCAUUUUAGAAUAAGGCUGUAAUGUAACAAAAUGAGGAAAAAGUCAAGGGGUUUGAAUACUUACAGAAGGCACUGUAUAUGGAGGCCAUUUUACAUUAUGUUUACAGCAGUGCCUCUGGAAAUGUACUGAUAAAAUGUCAAACAUUAAUUUUAAUGAGACUAUGCAGUUGUAUGAAAUCAUGAGCAACUUGUGUAUUUCGAUUUUCUUGAUUACUCACUAUCGUUCAGUUGGUCACAUGAGUUGUAAAUUCACUUCGAAAUAUAGCAACUUAUUUAAAAACGUAAUAUUAAUGUUUCAUUUAUUUGGUAAUCAACACAUUUUCUAUACAUGUGGCCUACUUGUACUUACAUGUGUAUUGAGUAAAGAUCACACGUCCCAAAUGUUUUUGGGUUUACAAUAGAUUUAAUUAAAUAUAAUAGAUUUUAUAGCUAAAUAACAUUGCAUGUUUGUUAUGAUAUUAUGAUUUUAUUAUAGCCCACUGAAAGAGCCGACAACUCAGGUGUGGGGUCAACUAGAUAUCACAGCCACAAAGUAGCACAGGCUAUAGAGUAAACAUUUAUGAAAACAUACUUGUGCUUUUUGGUCUUAAUUUCAGGUUAGGCAUAAGAUUAAGAAGGUCAAUUGUGGAAAUGGGCGGAGUUUACGACUU
ensembl:lncRNA